UACGUAGGGUGCGAGCGUUGUCCGGAAUUACUGGGCGUAAAGAGCUCGUAGGUGGUUUGUCGCGUUGUUCGUGAAAAUUCACAGCUUAACUGUGGGCUUGCGGUCGAUACGGGCAUCACUGGAGUUCGGCAGGGGAGACUGGAAUUCCUGGUGUAGCGGUGAAAUGCGCAGAUAUCAGGAAGAACACCCGUGGCGAAGGCGGCUCUCUAGGUACGGUACUGACGCUGAGACGCGAAAGCGUGGGGAGCGAACAGG
rnacentral:rRNA from 1 species